rnacentral:rRNA from 1 species
UACGUAGGGGGCAAGCGUUGUCCGGAUUUAUUGGGCGUAAAGAGCGUGUAGGCGGUUUGGUAGGUCCGUUGUGAAAACUCGAGGCUCAACCUCGAGACGCCGAUGGAAACCAUCAGACUAGAGUCCGGAAGAGGAGAGUGGAAUUCCUGGUGUAGCGGUGAAAUGCGCAGAUAUCAGGAGGAACACCGGUGGUGUAGACGGCUUUCUGGACCGUAACUGACGCUGAGACACGAAAGCGUGGGUAGCAAACAGG